rnacentral:rRNA from 1 species
UACGUAGGGGGCAAGCGUUAUCCGGAUUUACUGGGUGUAAAGGGAGCGUAGGUGGCAAGGCAAGUCAGAAGUGAAACCCUCGGGCUCAACCUGAGGCAUGCUUUUGAAACUGUCAAGCUGGAGUGCUGGAGAGGUAAGCGGAAUUCCUAGUGUAGCGGUGAAAUGCGUAGAUAUUAGGAGGAACACCGGUGGCGAAGGCGGCUUACUGGACAGUAACUGACACUGAGGCUCGAAAGCGUGGGGAGCAAACAGG